rnacentral:rRNA from 1 species
UACAGAGGGCCCAAGCGUUGUUCGGAUUCACUGGGCGUAAAGGGUGCGUAGGCGGUCGGGUAAGUCUGACGUGAAAUCUCCGGGCCUAACCCGGAAACUGCGUCGGAUACUAUCCGGCUAGAGGAUUGGAUGGGAGACUGGAAUACUUGGUGUAGCAGUGAAAUGCGUAGAUAUCAAGUGGAACACCAGUGGCGAAGGCGAGUCUCUGGACAAUUCCUGACGCUGAGGCACGAAAGCGUGGGGAGCAAACAGG